AUCUACUGCUAUUGCAUGCUGAGUGUGGGGGUCUCAUUCAAUCUCAGAAGCUAAGCAGGGCCAGCUCUGGUGAGUAUUUAGACGGGACACAUGCAGGGCUGAAGGGU
rnacentral:rRNA from 1 species